rnacentral:rRNA from 1 species
AUUGAACGCUGGCGGCAGGCCUAACACAUGCAAGUCGAACGAGUGGCGGACGGGUGAGUUAUGUCUGGGAAACUGCCCGAGGGAGGGGGAUAACUACUGGAAACGGUAGCUACUACCUCAUACCAUCGCAUGGGCCCAGAUGGGAUUAGCUAGUAGGUGGGGUAACGGCCCACCUAGGCGACGAUCCCUAGCUUGUCUGAGAGGAUGACCAGCCACACGGGAACUGGGACACGGUCCAGACUCCCACGUGAGUGAGCAGUGGGGAAUAUUGCACAAUGGGCGCAAGCCUGAUGCAGCCAUGCCGCGUGUAUGAAGAAGGCCGUCGGGUUGUAAAGUACUUUCAGCGAGGAGGCGUUACUCGCAGAAGAAGCACCGGCUAACUCCGUGCCAGCAGCCGCGGUAAUAC